CCUACGGGUGGCAGCAGUGGGGAAUAUUGGACAAUGGGGGGAACCCUGAUCCAGCCAUGCCGCGUGUGUGAAGAAGGCCCUCGGGUUGUAAAGCACUUUCAGUGAGGAAGAACGCCUGGUGGUUAAUACCCAUCAGGAAAGACAUCACUCACAGAAGAAGCACCGGCUAACUCCGUGCCAGCAGCCGCGGUAAUACGGAGGGUGCGAGCGUUAAUCGGAAUUACUGGGCGUAAAGCGCGCGUAGGUGGCUUGAUAAGCCGGUUGUGAAAGCCCCGGGCUCAACCUGGGAACGGCAUCCGGAACUGUCAAGCUAGAGUGCAGGAGAGGAAGGUAGAAUUCCCGGUGUAGCGGUGAAAUGCGUAGAGAUCGGGAGGAAUACCAGUGGCGAAGGCGGCCUUCUGGACUGACACUGACACUGAGGUGCGAAAGCGUGGGUAGCAAACAGGAUUAGCUACCCCUGUAGUC
rnacentral:rRNA from 1 species